rnacentral:lncRNA from 1 species
CCACAGAUGCUGUACUUUGCACACUCAACUUCAGGGCAUCACUCACUGGCUGAUUAUCUUUUCUUGUUCCUAGCACAUGCACAUCCCUUGGAGUCACUAAACUCCUCCAACUCCAAUUGUAACAUUGUUGUCUAGGAGUAUUGAGUUGUUUACUGCAACCGGCCCUCUUGAGGAACCAAAGUAUGGCAUCCAUAUUGGUGCAACCCCUUGCUCCCAUGUCUGAGUUAGUUGAGCUAGGUUUAGAUCGAGAGAAAUUAGGAAGGAAGUCGCCAUUUUGUUUCUGAUUUUCUUCUUUUUCUUUUUUUCCCUCUUCACUUCUUUCUUCUUUCUUUUCUCCCUUCUGAGUGGUUAUGAUCUUGUGUUUUCCCCUCGUUUCCUUUUAUAGAUGCUCAUUAUAACAAACCCUAGCCACUGUAGCAUUCUAUGUGUUUCUGAUUUUCGUGUGUCCCCUGAGGCCCACAUCUUUCUGGCAUUCCACCCAUCCUCAGCUAGAUUAAUCGCGAUUUGACCUUUCUGGCCCAAUGCGUUCAGCAAAGUCGUCCCGACUUCCCAAGACACCAAUAAUUCCCUCUUGGGGAUUUGCAGGGGCCUCUAACUGUCGACACGUCUCUCUUGCUCUAAUUGCCUGUGACUUACCAAGAGACGAGACA